rnacentral:rRNA from 1 species
GACAGAGGUGCCAAGCGUUAGGCGGAAUCACUGGGCUUAAAGCGUGUGUAGGCGGAAUUGUAAGUACCUUGUGAAAUCCCACGGCUCAACCGUGGAACUGCUUGGUAUACUGCUUUUCUUGAGCCACUUAGGGGCUGUCGGAACAAAUGGUGGAGCGGUGAAAUGCGUAGAUAUCAUUUGGAACGCCAACGGUGAAAACAGACAGCUGGGAGUGUGCUGACGCUGAGACACGAAAGCCAGGGGAGCGAACAGG